AGACAGCAGUAGCCACGGUAAUACGUAGGUGGUAAGCGUUGUCCGGAAUUAUUGGGCGUAAAGCGCGCGCAGGCGGAUAGGUCAGUCUGUCUUAAAAGUUCGGGGCUUAACCCCGUGAUGGGAUGGAAACUGCCAAUCUAGAGUAUCGGAGAGGAAAGUGGAAUUCCUAGUGUAGCGGUGAGAUGCGUAGAUAUUAGGAAGAACACCAGUGGCGAAGGCGACUUUCUGGACGAAAACUGACGCUGAGGCGCGAAAGCCAGGGGAGCGAACGGGAUUAGAUACCCCAGUAGUCCCUGUCUCUUAUACA
rnacentral:rRNA from 1 species